UACGGGGGGGGCAAGCGUUGUCCGGAAUUACUGGGCGUAAAGGGUGCGUAGGCGGCUUUCUAAGUCGGAUGUGAAAACUCUGGGCUCAACCCAGAGCCUGCAUCCGAAACUGGAGAGCUAGGGUUCUGGAGGGGAAAGCGGAAUUCCUGGUGUAGCGGUGAAAUGCGUAGAUAUCAGGAGGAACACCGGUGGCGAAGGCGGCUUUCUGGACAGAUACCGACGCUGAGGCACGAAAGCUAGGGGAGCAAACAGG
rnacentral:rRNA from 1 species